rnacentral:rRNA from 1 species
AUGAACGCUGGCGGCGUGCUUAACACAUGCAAGUCGAACGAAGCACUUUAACCUGAUUCUUCGGAUGAAGGUUUUUGUGACUGAGUGGCGGACGGGUGAGUAACGCGUGGGUAACCUGCCUCAUACAGGGGGAUAACAGUUAGAAAUGACUGCUAAUACCGCAUAAGACCACGGAGCCGCAUGGCUCAGUGGGAAAAACUCCGGUGGUAUGAGAUGGACCCGCGUCUGAUUAGGUAGUUGGUGGGGUAACGGCCUACCAAGCCAACGAUCAGUAGCCGACCUGAGAGGGUGACCGGCCACAUUGGGACUGAGACACGGCCCAAACUCCUACGGGAGGCAGCAGUGGGGAAUAUUGCACAAUGGGGGAAACCCUGAUGCAGCGACGCCGCGUGAGCGAAGAAGUAUUUCGGUAUGUAAAGCUCUAUCAGCAGGGAAGAAAAUGACGGUACCUGACUAAGAAGCACCGGCUAAAUACGUGCCAGCAGCCGCGGUAAUACGUAUGGUGCAAGCGUUAUCCGGAUUUACUGGGUGUAAAGGGAGCGUAGACGGCUGUGUAAGUCUGAAGUGAAAGCCCGGGGCUCAACCCCGGGACUGCUUUGGAAACUAUGCAGCUAGAGUGUCGGAGAGGUAAGUGGAAUUCCCAGUGUAGCGGUGAAAUGCGUAGAUAUUAGGAGGAACACCAGUGGCGAAGGCGACUUUCUGGUCUGUAACUGACGCUGAUGUGCGAAAGCGUGGGGAUCAAACAGGAUUAGAUACCCUGGUAGUCCACACGGUAAACGAUGAAUACUCGCUGUAGGCGAUAUACAGUCUGCGGCCAAGCGAAAGCAUUAAGUAUUCCACCUGGGGAGUACGCCGGCAACGGUGAAACUCAAAGGAAUUGACGGGGACCCGCACAAGCGGUGGAGCAUGUGGUUUAAUUCGAAGCAACGCGAAGAACCUUACCUGCUCUUGACAUCCCGGUGACCGGCAUGUAAUGAUGCCUUUUCUUCGGAACACCGGUGACAGGUGGUGCAUGGUUGUCGUCAGCUCGUGUCGUGAGAUGUUGGGUUAAGUCCCGCAACGAGCGCAACCCUUAUCUUCAGUAGCCAGCAAUUCGGAUGGGCACUCUGGAGAGACUGCCAGGGAUAACCUGGAGGAAGGUGGGGAUGACGUCAAAUCAUCAUGCCCCUUAUGAGCAGGGCUACACACGUGCUACAAUGGCGUAAACAAAGGGAAGCGAGCCUGCGAGGGUAAGCAAAUCUCAAAAAUAACGUCUCAGUUCGGAUUGUAGUCUGCAACUCGACUACAUGAAGCUGGAAUCGCUAGUAAUCGCGAAUCAGCAUGUCGCGGUGAAUACGUUCCCGGGUCUUGUACACACCGCCCGUCACACCAUGGGAGUUGGUAACGCCCGAAGUCAGUGACCCAACCGUAAGGAGGGAGCUGCCGAAGGUGGGACCGAUAACUGGGGUG